rnacentral:rRNA from 1 species
AGAACGAACGCUGGCGGCAGGCCUAACACAUGCAAGUCGAACGCGACCUUCGGGUCGAGUGGCGCACGGGUGAGUAACGCGUGGGAAUCUGCCCUGUGGUACGGAAUAACAUCGGGAAACUGGUGCUAAUACCGUAUAUCCCCUGAGGGGGAAAGAUUUAUCGCCAUGGGAGGAGCCCGCGUAGGAUUAGCUAGUUGGUGAGGUAACGGCUCACCAAGGCGACGAUCCUUAGCUGGUCUGAGAGGAUGAUCAGCCACACUGGGACUGAGAUACGGCCCAGACUCCUACGGGAGGCAGCAGUGGGGAAUAUUGGACAAUGGGGGAAACCCUGAUCCAGCCAUGCCGCGUGUGUGAUGAAGGCCUUCGGGUUGUAAAGCACUUUCGCACGUGACGAUGAUGACGGUAACGUGAGAAGAAGCCCGGCUAACUUCGUGCCAGCAGCCGC